rnacentral:rRNA from 1 species
GAUGAACGCUAGCGGCAGGCUUAACACAUGCAAGUCGAGGGGUAUAGUUCUUCGGAGCUAGAGACCGGCGCACGGGUGCGUAACGCGUAUGCAAUCUACCUUUUGCAGAGGGAUAGCCCAGAGAAAUUUGGAUUAAUACCUCGUAGUAUGUGAGAAUGGCAUCAUUUUCACAUUAAAGUCACAACGGCAAAAGAUGAGCAUGCGUCCCAUUAGCUUGUUGGUAAGGUAACGGCUUACCAAGGCAACGAUGGGUAGGGGUCCUGAGAGGGAGAUCCCCCACACUGGUACUGAGACACGGACCAGACUCCUACGGGAGGCAGCAGUGAGGAAUAUUGGACAAUGGGCGCAAGCCUGAUCCAGCCAUGCCGCGUGCAGGAUGACGGUCCUACGGAUUGUAAACUGCUUUUGUACAGGAAGAAACACUGGUUCGUGAACCAGCUUGACGGUACUGUAAGAAUAAGGAUCGGCUAACUCCGUGCCAGCCGCCGCAGUAAGAC